AUGUCAUUCAGAAAGUUUCAUAUUCUGAUGAAAACCAAGCUGAGAAUUCUCACAGAAGAAAACAACUCUGAGCCUUUAGACCAGCUAAAUGAAGUUUAUCAUACAUAUGAUACACACACCAGAGAUACAGAAAGAGUGGACACUGGACUGAGUCAGGUGUAUGAGAUUGAAUGCCAAGUAGAGGAUGAAAUAAAGCCCAGUGCACAACAUAUCAGUCACGAAGAGAAGGAAGGACUCCUCUCCAAAGGUGAGGAGAGGGAAUCUUCUUUGCAAACUCUGGAAUCAGAAAUUCAUACUACGUUUGGCUCACAGCUUCAGGACACUUCUGUGAGCAUAGAGAAGCAACAUGACACUGAUUCCAACCCCAUUGGGAACAGAAGGAAACUGGGAUCUAGACGUAGAAAUAGAGGACAACACCAAGUCAAAGAGUCUUUGGCUGAAUCAUAUCGUGAACACACAGAGGAAGAUGAAGCAAAUAACACAGUCAAUGAUGCCCUUGAAACACAAAAAAUGGAAUUAGCAUUAGAGACAAAGGGGCAGGAAGAGUUAGGUGAAGCUAAUGAGCACAAUGUUAUCAUCUCUACCACAAAUGACAGCUCUUUGUCUAUAGUGUCUAUGUCUGGUUCUUCAUCUGAUGUUCAGGACCCCACAACAACAGACUCUGCAGAGACUGACCUGGAAGGGUUAAGUAAUACAAGUGAAAAUGUUCAAGAAAAACAUUAUAAAAAAGAAGCUGACUUUAAAGUGGAGGCAUUUGAUGAAUCAGUGGAAGUCAGACUGGAAAAGGACGAAUCUAAUAAAAUUCAGAGUGAUGUGGAGUGGUCAACAAAUGAAGAAAAACAAGAGCAUUUCAUUCAAGUCAGAGGAGCUUCUCAUUCUGAAGAUGCUGUAAAUAAAGUGCAUGAACAAGAGCUUAAGCCAACACAAAUGCAAGAAAUGCAUGAAACUAAUUACAUGUUUGAAAAUACAAUAGAGGACACGAUGGAAAAUCUGGAUGCCCGCUCUGGAAAUCUGAAAGACCAAGCUGAAUUCAAGGACACACAACAAUCUGAGUUGAUUGUGAGAAGUAGUUCUUAUGUCCUUCAGAAGGUUUCAUAUUCUGAUGAAAACCAAGCUGAACAUCUCACAGAAGAAAACAACUCGGAGCCUUUAGACCAGCUAAAUGAAGUUUAUCAUACAUAUGAUACACACACCAGAGAUACAGAAAGAGUGGACACUGGACUGAGUCAGGUGUAUGAGAUUGAAUGCCAAGUAGAGGAUGAAAUAAAGCCCAGUGCAGAACAAAGCAGUCAGCAGGAGAAGGAAGGACUUAUCUCCAAAGGUGAGGAGAGUGAAUCUUUGAUAACUCUGGAAUCAGAAAUUCAUACUACGUUUGGCUCACAGUCUCAGGACACUUCUGUGAGCAUAGAGAAGCAACAUGACACUGAUUCCAACCCCAUUGGGAACAGAAGGAAACUGGGAUCUAGACGCAGAAAUAAAGGACAACACCAAGUCAAGGAGUCUUUGGCUGAAUCAUAUCGUGAACACACAGAGGAAGAUGAAGCAAAUAACACAGUCAAUGAUGUCCUUGAAACACAAAAAAUGGAAUUAGCAUUAGAGACAAAGAGGCAGGAAGAGUUAGGUGAAACUAAUGAGCACAAUGUUAUCAUCUCUACCACAAAUGACAGCUCUUUGUCUUCAGUGUCUAUAUCUGGUUCUUCAUCUGAUGUUCAGGACCCCACAACAACAGACUCUGCAGAGACUGACCUGGAAGGGUUAAGUAAUACAAGUGAAAAUGUUCAAGAAAAACAUUAUGAAAAAGAAGCUGACUUUAAAGUGGAGGCAUUUGAUGAAUCAGUGGAAGUCAGACUGGAAAAGGACGAAUCUAAUACUAUUCAGAGGGACGUGGAGUGGUCAACAAAUGAAGAAAAACAAGAGCAUUUCAUUCAAGUCAGAGGAGCUUCUCAUUCUGAAGAUGCUGUAAAUAAAGUGCAUGAACAAGAGCUUAAGCCAACACAAAUGCAAGAAAUGCAUGAAACUGAUUACAUGUUUGAAAAUACAAUAGAGGACACGAUGGAAAAUCUGGAUACCCGCUCUGGAAAUCUGAAAGACCAAGCUGAAUUCAAGGACACACAGCAAUCUGACUUGAUUGUGAGAAGUAGUUCUUAUGUCAUUCAGAAGGUUUCAUAUUCUGAUAAAAACCAAGCUGAACAUCUCACAGAAGAAAACAACUCGGAGCCUUUAGACCAGCUAAAUGAAGUUUAUCAUACAUAUGAUACACACACCAGAGAUACAGAAAGAGUGGACACUGGACUGAGUCAGGUGUAUGAGAUUGAAUGCCAAGUAGAGGAUGAAAUAAAGCCCAGUGCAGAACAAAGCAGUCAGCAGGAGAAGGAAGGACUCCUCUCCAAAGGUGAGGAGAGUGAAUCUUCUUUGCAAACUCUGGAAUCAGAAAUUCAUACUACGUUUGGCUCACAGUCUCAGGACACUUCUGUGAGCAUAGAGAAGCAACAUGACACUGAUUCCAACCCCAUUGGGAACAGAAGGAAACUGGGAUCUAGACGCAGAAAUGAAGGACAACACCAAGUCAAGGAGUCUUUGGCUGAAUCAUAUCGUGAACACACAGAGGAAGAUGAAGCAAAUAACACAGUCAAUGAUGUCCCUUGA
rnacentral:lncRNA from 1 species